GUUGAUCUGUCUUCACAGCCUGCCUCAGCUCAGCUCGCCACCUGCCCUUGAGUUACUGUGAAUAGACAAGACAGAGAGGAAGUCGUUCUGUAGUCUGGCUCUUGUAAACCAUAUCUCUGUUGUGUUUUUAUCCCUGGGCUGUUUAGAUUUUUUCCCCUCUCUGCUCUGGGGGUGGAGUGGAGCGUUUGUCCCUGGCUGGCGGAGCUCCGAUGGGAGGCAGCGCUGCCUCUGUCUGGGACUGGGGAUGCUGAACGGGGGAAGGGAGGGCCUGUUUCAACUGGGACAGCAGCUCCAGCAACAGGGGGAGUACCAGGCCGCCCUCCACUGCUUCCUUAGCUCUCUGCUGGGGUUAAGGCACGUGCAGAGCUUCACUUCGCUGCCCAACUGCCUUCACCAGAUUGCUGAACUCUUCAUCUCCGAAAAUAAUUACGGCAAGGCCCUGCAGUUCAUUCAGGCUGAGAAGAUGUUCUACGAGGUUUCUCUAAUUGAGCUCACUGCUGUUCAGGGGAGCACAGGUACAAGGAGUGACGAAGGAUGACGUUUAAGUACUAUGAGGGUGGUUGAUGAAGCAAUUGGAGUCAGGUGAGUGAGGCAGGCUUUUGGCUAAUGAAGAUUGGAUGCAGGUGAGCAAAUUGGCAUGGGUACUGCUCUACGUCCAUAUAUGGAUUUCCUUGCCGCUCUGCCGCCUUCCAUUGUGGAUGUCUGGACCCAUAUAUGGAGUUCCUGCUACAGGGCCG
ensembl:lncRNA